ensembl:lncRNA
GCCUGAAGCAGGAGGGGAGCCGAAAGAAGAGGCAAUCCUGCUAAAUUACAGCCCGACCUUCCCCAUGCAUCUUUCAUGCGCGGCGCCGGCCGCCGUGCUCAAUAAAUAAUGGGGCGGGAGUGCGCGGUGGGGCCCCGGGGGGGACGGAGGCAGCCGGGAGGAUGGGGGAAAAAGGAGAAGAGCGUGGUGGCGACGGGCAGGAGCCCACCGGGGUUCCCCGGCCACGCAGAGACGCUGCCCCGAAGGAGGAUUUAAGGCUUAAGCCGGGGGUUAUGGCAUGCAUUAUUUAGCAGAUGGCCCCGCAGCCCGCGGGCUCCCCGGUGACCUUGGCGGGGCGAGGACGGAUCCGGUGACACGGGGCUAAAGGGGGGGGGACACACACACACGACCCUUCCUUGAGCUGGCUCUGAGCAGCUCCAGUGCUGCAUCCCCAUGGAAACCGCACAAAAUAAAAGCCGGGUCCAUCCGGCUGCUCUCGGUAGGGGAAAGGAAAAAAAAAAUUAAGGAAAAAGAUGAAACGCGAGCGGUUUGCGGGUUCGUGGAUUUAUUGCUGGAGAGCUUUGGGGAAAGCGGCCUGGAGGGGGCGAGGUGCUGAGCUCCCUGCAGUGCCUGCAGGGCGGCAGCCCCCCAGCCAGGUGUGCGCCUCCAUCCCGUGCCCUGGUGGGUUUGGGGUCUGGGGGUUUUGGGGCUGGGGAAGGUGCCGGGGUCCCUCACACCGCAGCGCGCAGGGGAAGGUUCAGCUAGCCCCAACGCCACCCCGUUCUCUGCAGGCUCCAAAUCCCCACUGCAGCAACCUCGGGCAGCAUCGCCCCUCGCGUCCGGGGCAGGAAUUCAAGACCUCGAGUUGGGAAAGGCCGGAGAUCCCGCCGGGUUUGGGUUUCCCUGGGACACCAGCAGGGCUGCUCCAUCCUCGUCCUCAGGGUUUUCUCACGCGAUGCCCCUACGGGCUCCACGUUCCCAAAGCAGCUGGUGCAGGACCGAGGCAGGCCGCGCUCUUAUUUAUCUAUUUAUUUUUUGGUGAAAAACCAUUUCUAACCUCAAAACAAAGCCUCUCAGCCCCGUGCCCGAGGAAAGGAGCUGCGCUGCCGUGGAGCACUCUCGCCACGCUGCCCCAAGCGAAGCCCCGGCUUGCAAAACCCCGCAGAAAAGCACGGGCACCCACGGUGCCGCCUGAAAUAAAUCCUCGUCCCCCACCAGAAAUAGGGCACGGCAAAGUAGGGCAGCGGUUCCCUGCAAAAGCCGUUUCUUUACUCCUCACACGGGGAGCGAGGUGUGGGACGCGGCCGCCAGAGCCGCGCAUCCGAGGCAGGGGACGGAGCCGGCCCCAUCCCACCCCAAAAGAGCCUGGUGGUGGUAGUGGGGGAACAGCGGGAUCUGGUCAGGGUUUGCUGGGCAUUUCACCCUUUGGAAGAACGGGGAGAUUUCCCACAUUUUGGGGAAAACUGGAAAAAAUCGAGAGGGGAAAGGUGAAAACCAGGGGAGGCUCCCGUGUGGUUUCGGAUCCCAACCCGGCAAAACCCCGGUGCAGGGGGAGCAGGGCUGGUGGCAGAGGUUCCUCGUUGAAAAGCCACGGUUGCUCAGAACUGGGCAGUUUCGGUGACCUUUGGUGGGUAAAAAAACCACACAAAAAAACACAAAAAAAAACAAAAAAAACAGUUGUUCUGACGGCAUUGGGCCCCUCCUCAUGCCGGUGUUCCUGCCCUGACCAGCCAGCAGGGCUGUCU